UACGGAGGGUGCGAGCGUUGUCCGGAAUCAUUGGGCGUAAAGGGCGCGUAGGUGGCCCGGUCAGUCUUUGGUGAAAGCGCGGGGCUCAACCCUGCGUCGGCCAGGGAUACUGCCGCGGCUCGAGCACUGUAGAGGCAGGCGGAAUUCCGGGUGUAGCGGUGGAAUGCGUAGAGGAUCCGGAAGAACACCGGUGGCGAAGGCGGUUCUCUGGGCCGUUACCUGACGCUGAGGAGCGAAGCGUGGGAGCGAACAG
rnacentral:rRNA from 1 species